GAAUGACAAAGCACUGCCACCUUUUGGUGUGAUACUGUAGCAUAUCCGAGAAACUGGACCAAAGACAGUAAAGUUCAGAAGUGAUGAAUAUUUUUGCUGGCAUCCAAUCCAUAUUAGCUUAUUUAUCACAGACAAACCUGUUCAAACCUGAAAUGUUGAAACCAUUCAGUCUGAUGUUGUCUCUCAUUCUCAUCCACAUCAGGCUCACAGCAACAGCCAAAUUAAAGCAGGUUCAACACCAUCUCCUCCUAGAUGUCUAAGGGUUGUUCAUACGCGUGGAAAAUGUGUUUACCUGACUCUGAUGUCAAGCUGAUUGAGACCAGUGGAACCUAUCUGCCAAAGAGCCGUCAUGGAGGACACAGCCAGGCCUCAUCCACCGUGUCAACAACAAGUAAUAAGCAGAGGUCUGGGCCAUCAAUCUCGUCAGCAGGUUUAACAGGGGAUUGAUGGGUUAAUCAGAGGAAGAGCCAAAGCCAAGCAGUUGCUACAAGGAACCUCUCCUUCACCUGAAUGAUUAUGUUCUAAAUGAGAAGGCUUUGUUUAUCAUUUUUUAAAUACUAUUGUCACAGUUAUAGACAAGUGCUAAUUUAGUUUCUAUUAUCACGAGACAACAAACCCGUCCAAUAGAAUUUUCACUCUUUUUCUUUAUGGGGCUAAUCGUUCCUCUUCUUUCUGAAUUCAUCCUGGCACUUGAGCUGCUUCAAAGCAUGCUGUUUUUGUUGGAAACUCUGUUCUGUAAUCUUAUCUCUUGAACAUUGUUUUGGAAUCUAUUUAUUAAACAUUUUAGGCUAUGGAAAAAUCCAUCAAGGUGAAUCGAAUGAUGUUAUGUAUGGAUAUGAUAUUGGUAACACUAUGGAAACCAUAUCGCUCUAUCAGAUUACUCUGAGAAAGCGUUGCUAUUAUGGAAUAAACUUGAAAUUUCAUGAAUGAGCAAAGGUGAAAAUUCGGGCAUGACACUCUCAUGUAAAUGAUCAAAAUGCAAUGCUUUGGUGUUGUGUUUCAAUUGGUAGCUACCUUCUGUUGACUUCCAGUUCAAUGGCCAAUCCGCUUUCAAGCCUCGCUUAAUCUUAAUUAGAAGGGGAAACAACCGCAUCUAUCAUGCUUAUAAGGGGAUCUUCCUGACAUCCGUCAAGCGGGUUUACCUCCAAGUCAAAUUUGCGCUCUAUGACAAAAAGGGCAGGGAUUAUUUGUUAAAAAACAAAGUCAUUUUGGGUUUUACAUUUGGAUUUGUUUUCUCUGGCAGAAUGCACUUUUAAUAAACAGUCAUCAUUUUAUAGGCUAGGGGUGAGUUGAGUUACAUGAUUGGACAUGGAAUUUCUACCAUAGUAAGCAAUGGCAAAUCAAAAAUCCCAUCCAGUGUAACAUUACUGACAUAGGAAGUCUAGAUUGCUUUCUGCUGAACAUACAGGAAUAUGUAUUUUUUGUAAGUGGAGGUGUUGCCCAGUAAAUGGCUUAAUGAAAUUUGAAUGCACUUUCAUUGAUCCAAUAAAGAGAGGAAAGCGACGUGUAUCUAGUAAUGGAUUCUGGCACAUUGCCUUGAGUGUGACCUUGACCACUGGAGUGUUUCUAGGGUUACGCUCACCUCACACGCAGAAAUGUUAUGACUAAGAGGACAAUAAAAAAGAGUGGAAAAGCUCCGGGAAAUGACUCACUGACUAAAGCCAGGCAUGGAUUUGUCCUCCACACAAACAGAUAAAUUCAAUCCAUAUUAGCAAAACUUAAACAUUCUAGCUACCUUGACACCUGCAUGGCGGCAGAAAUAUAGUGUGUCACUAUUGCAAGCAUCAAUGAAGAAAUUCAAAUCGACACUCUGCUGUGCUUUAACUGACUGCCCUUUGUGCACCCUGGUUUCAGCGCUGGGAUCAGGAGAGUGUUGGCUGGUCACGGCUUGCUUUGCAGCCCCAGUGAAGAGUGGUGUGUGCAGUGGGUCGGUGUUGGACGUGAGGGCUGUGCUAAGUGCGGCACAGCAGGGCACUGUGUGAUGUGAAUUCUCAGGAGGCAGCAGCUGUCCCAGAGGAGUGGAGUGGAGCAGAGAGGGCGUGUCAGCUCAAGCCUGCGGUCCGGAUUGUUGAGAAGUCCAGCUUGACUGAGUGUGUAUCCAUGCAGAAUGCAUAAUGAGUGGUUACACACAGCAGCCACUGUUUCUCCCACUCUCACAGACUGGGAAAAGAGCUGUACCUUAUUCCACUGAAAUGAGAAGUUAUUAGGUAGUAUUUUUUCAUUCCGAUCAAAUUUGCUUUGUUUAGCAAUGGAUCGAACCUGGGCUCAUUUACAGAUUUUGUGACAUAUUGGGUUUCUGGCUCUGUGUGUCUUGAUUGGCUAAUAAUGUGAAAGUGGAGUGAGGUGGCAAAUUGUUUGCAUCAUUAUCACUAUAUGAUUAUCUGGCUUCUUGGCUUGAAUGCAGCGUUUUAAAAUCAAUGUCACCAAAUUACUCUGAGCAUUUCUCCAUAGCUUAGGUGGAAUUUCUGUAGGCCACCGGCAUUCUGUAGGCGACCGGCAUUCUGUAGGCCACCGGCAUUCUGUAGGCCACAGGCAUUCUGUAGGCCACCGGCAUUCUGUAGGCCACAGGCAUUCUGUAGGCCACCGGCAUUCUGUAGGCCACCGGCAUUCUGUAGGCCACCGGCAUUCUGUAGGCCACCGGCAUUCUGUAGGCCACAGGCAUUCUGUAGGCCACCGGCAUUCUGUAGGCCACCGGCAUUCUGUAGGCCACCGGCAUUCUGUAGGCCACCGGCAUUCUGUAGGCCACAGGCAUUCUGUAGGCCACCGGCAUUCUGUAGGCCACCGGCAUUCUG
rnacentral:lncRNA from 1 species